rnacentral:misc_RNA from 1 species
UUGAUAUUUUUAAGUUGUUUUAGACAUUAUGUUACUUAGUUUUUUAUUUAAUUUUCAAAACUAUUUUAUAAUAACAGUUACAAUCUUUUAUGUUCACAUUUUAAUUUUAAUUAUCCAUUUGUAUUGCUAAAUUGGUGUUAUUAUUUUAAAAAAUAAAUCAUUCUAUAGUAUAGAACUAGUAAAGUUAGUGAUUUUUAUAUUUAGUUUUUAGUAUAUUUAUCAAUAGAUUAUAUAGUAUAAUGGAAUAGAAUGUGUGGUUGGAAAAGUUAGAUAAAAAUCUAGUGAAAAUCUAAUUAUGGGCUGAAAAAAGAAACUCUGAAUAUGCUAUCUGUAAACUAUGCAAAAGUGAUUUAAAAUUCAGUUCAGUUGGUUUCCAAGCACUAUAUCAGCAUUCUUCAAAACCUAAACAUAAGUCAGUGUCUGAUCUAAGAUUUUCAAAAACUGCUCGUCAUUUGUAUGUAGAUUCUAACAAAAACUCGAUUGGGGGAGAAAACGUUAUACAAUUAGAGUUCUAUAAAUGAAAAAAUUUCUGCUGCAGAAGCCAUGUGGCUUUUUAAAGUGGCAGAUAAUGAUCUUGCCGUAAGACAUUGUGACAACACACCAAUAUUGUUCCAAAGAAUGUUUCCAGAUAGUAAAAUAAGUCAAUGUUUUACUAUGAGUCGGCAAAAUCCUCAUAUAUUUUGCAAGAUGGCCUUGGGCCAUUGUUGGAAAAGCGUUUAUGUAAUAGUAUCGCGUUAAGUCAAGGUGCAUUCACUUUAAUGUUUGAUGAAACAACUACUUCACAACAAAAAAAACAAAUGGAUCUUUUAUGUCGUUUUUGAUCAGAAGACGAAAACCAAGUUGUUACAAAAUAUUUAACAUCGCUGUUCUUUGGCAGAGCAACAGCAGAAGAUGUCAAAACAAUGCUAGCAGAUUUACGUCAUAAUGAAAGGUUUUAUUUACCAUGGGAUCGUCUUUUUAAUAUUUCAGCAGAUGGUCCUAAUAUUAACAAAGCCAUUUGGAGAUUGUUAAAUGCUGAUCUUCAUAGUAAUGGUUUUAAUGGCUUGUUACCAUUUGUAAGUUGCACUUUGCACACAGUGCAUAAUGCUUUUCGAAAAGCAAUUAAUGUUGUCGGUGAGGAUGCUGAGCAGCUUGCAUUUGAUUUACAUAACUGGUUCAAGAAUGCACCCUGUAAAAUAAAAGAUUUUAAAAAAUUAUCAGAUUGCAUUUUUAUUGAAGAUGAAACAUUGUUUCUUCGUUUUGUCAAUACUAGAUGGCUCACUCUUUUUUCUUCACUUAUAAAGGUUCUAUUAAGGUGGGAAGACACCAAGAAAUAUUUUUUGGAAUAUAUUCCAAAACAAAAGGAGUAUUAAAAGACACUGACAAACAAUAAGCGUUAUAUUCGAAUUCAAAGAAGUCUUAGGGAAACUGAAAAUCUAUUUAAAGUUAUUCUUAUUAUUUUUUUUUUUUGAAUUAUUACAUAUAAUAGAGAAUUGAUUAUUUUAGGAGUUACUUGUGUCCAUCAAAUUCCUUAUUGGUUUAGCUCCCUUGUUUGAGAAAUACUUGACAAUAUUUCAAGAUGAAGGACCACUUGUUCAUAUUUUAUUUUAUAAAAUGAAAAAUCUUUUAAUAUCUUUAAUGAAACGUUUCCUUCAACCGACUGCUGUUAAUGGAAAGCUUACUAAAGAUCUUUUAAAAGUUGAUUCUUCUGAUUCAACUAUCCACCUUGAUUUGAAUAAAAUGGACUUUGGCGAGGAAGCUAAAAACCAGGUGAACAAAAUAUCAUGUGAAAAAAAAAGAUUUGUCUUCUUACAGCAAAUGAGAGAUGGAUAUAUAUC